AACGCACAUUGCGCCCUGUGGUAUUCCGCAGGGCAUGCCUGUUCGAGCGUCAUUAUAACCACUCAAGCCUGGCUUGGUGUUGGGGUUUGCGGUUCCGCAGCCCCUAAAAUCAGUGGCGGUGCCGGUGGGCUCUACGCGUAGUAAAUCUCCUCGCGAUUGAGUUCCCCCGGUGGCCUGCCAGAACCCCCAAUUUUUACAGGUUGACCUCGGAUCAGGUAGGGAUACCCGCUGAACUUAA
rnacentral:misc_RNA from 2 species